rnacentral:lncRNA from 1 species
AGUAGCACCCGGGGGUGGGGAGGUUUCAUGCUGGUCUGAACCUCCCAGCGGCUGUCUGCUUCUUGAUCCCUGCUGCCUCAGCAUGGCAGGAAGUCCAGCUGGAAGCAUCCGCCAGCCUCGGGAAUGGCCUCUGCCUCUAACUGCCUCCUCACAGACACGGCCAGGAAAAAGUCCAGCAGGAAUGGUGCAGCAUCAUGGGAGCCCUCCUGUGUGCCUGUCGCUACAAGGUGGCAUGUGCUGAUUUCAAGAAACGGACUUAGUGGAUGUUGCUCCAGACGGACUUACCCUGCCUGCCCCUCAGACUGGCUGCUCUGAACGUGGUGGCUCCACAAGACUUUUCCAAGGUGUUCCGUGUGUGCUGCUGCAAAGCUGUGGCCGCUCCAAAAUACCAUCGCCCAUUGUGUUUGCUCUCUGUGUCCCAGCCCUACUUCCCUUUCCCUCCCUCUUACUUCCCUGGACCGCACUCCCUGAUGGAGUAUUCCCACCAGCACUGCCUUCCUAAGAAACCAGCGGCGAAGGUCUACGUUCCA